UCGAACGGAAAGGCCCUGCUUGCAAGGUACUCGAGUGGCGAACGGGUGAGUAACACGUGGGUGAUCUGCCCUGCACUUCGGGAUAAGCUUGGGAAACUGGGUCUAAUACCGGAUAGGAACCAUCUUUANUGUGGUGGUUGGAAAGUUUUUUCGGUGUAGGAUGAGCUCGCGGCCUAUCAGCUUGUUGGUGGGGUAAUGGCCUACCAAGGCGGCGACGGGUAGCCGGCCUGAGAGGGUGUACGGCCACAUUGGGACUGAGAUACGGCCCAGACUCCUACGGGAGGCAGCAGUGGGGAAUAUUGCACAAUGGGCGCAAGCCUGAUGCAGCGACGCCGCGUGGGGGAUGAAGGCCUUCGGGUUGUAAACUCCUUUCGCUAGGGACGAAGCUUUUUGUGACGGUACCUAGAUAAGAAGCACCGGCUAACUACGUGCCAGCAGCCGCGGUAACACGUAGGGUGCGAGCGUUGUCCGGAAUUACUGGGCGUAAAGGGCUCGUAGGUGGUUUGUCGCGUCGUCUGUGAAAUUCUGGGGCUUAACUCCGGGCGUGCAGGCGAUACGGGCAUAACUUGAGUGCUGUAGGGGUAACUGGAAUUCCUGGUGUAGCGGUGAAAUGCGCAGAUAUCAGGAGGAACACCGAUGGCGAAGGCAGGUUACUGGGCAGUUACUGACGCUGAGGAGCGAA
rnacentral:rRNA from 1 species